GUCAGGAUCCUCCGAAAAGUCAGU
rnacentral:piRNA from 1 species